ACUCCUGCGGGAGGCAGCAGUGGGGAAUAUUGGACAAUGGGCGCAAGCCUGAUCCAGCCAUGCCGCGUGAGUGAUGAAGGCCCUAGGGUUGUAAAGCUCUUUCACCGGAGAAGAUAAUGACGGUAUCCGGAGAAGAAGCCCCGGCUGACUUCGUGCCAGCAGCCGCGGUAAUACGAAGGGGGCUAGCGUUGUUCGGAAUUACUGGGCGUAAAGCGCACGUAGGCGGAUCGAUCAGUCAGGGGUGAAAUCCCAGGGCUCAACCCUGGAACUGCCUUUGAUACUGUCGAUCUGGAGUAUGGAAGAGGUGAGUGGAAUUCCGAGUGUAGAGGUGAAAUUCGUAGAUAUUCGGAGGAACACCAGUGGCGAAGGCGGCUCACUGGUCCAUUACUGACGCUGAGGUGCGAAAGCGUGGGGAGCAAACAGGAUUAGAUACCCGAGUAGUCCCAUGAU
rnacentral:rRNA from 1 species